GUACAACUGAAAAGUCCCAUAACAGAACGAAACGGCCGUCCAGUGUAU
rfam:Schistosoma haematobium scaffold162_21, whole genome shotgun sequence.